rnacentral:pre_miRNA from 1 species
AAAGUACUCCCUCCGUCCGGAAUUACUUGUCAUCAAAAUGGAUGAAAAUGGAUGUAUCUAGAACUAAAAUAUAUCUACAUACAUCCAUUUCAAUGACAAGUAUUUCCGGACGGAGGGAGUAAUAA